AAAAAACCUAACUCCUUUUGACCUAUUUCGAGUUUCUAAAUUUGUUUCAUCUAUUGCUCAAUUGAGUCUGUAAAUCCCUAUUUCAACCUUUGUUUAUUUAAACAAUUUUUAUUCUCUACUAAACUCUUCUAAAGUCUUUAUACUGGACCCUUUAUAUGUUAUUUCAUACUCUCUCUUCUCCGUUGCUGGGUUACCCUAUGAUUACCAUGUUCCUAUAGUCUGCUACUUACUGAUUUUUAAUUGCAUGGCACUUUUUCUUUGUCCUAAAUUCAACCUCGUAUGCCAAAUACUUGUGUACUCUUUAUAUGUACUGAACUUCCCUCUAAAUGACAUACAAAUUUUUGAAUGAUUUUAGACUUCCUUCAUGUAAGUCUGAUUGAUUUCUUUCCUUGUUUGCUUAUUUCCUUGUAACCUGGUUUGGGUCGAAAACUUUCCCUAGCCUUUCUUACUUGGUUUAUUCAUGGACCAAUAAUUACAAACCUCUGACUCAUUGAUUUCAUGUGUACUAACUGAUUCUUGCCUUAUUUUUCUUUGAUCGUGUAUUUCAAAACUCUUCCCCUAAAUAAACUCCUAUGUAUUUACCCCUAAUUGCCUACUUUGCACAAGAUGCUUAUUUGAUCUCUUUCCUUAAACAAUUUUUUUGCUCAUUACUGUUUAAGUCUGAAUUCCUUAAUUAAAAAAAGUCUUAUAUUGAUUUUUUAAUUGAUACUCAGUUUCAUAAUUAUUUUUUCCUUGCCUUAUUUCAACCUAUUUUUCACACUACAAAUACACGACUUUUUCAUUAACACAAAUACAUCCAUCACUCGUAGUCUUUUUGAACUAACACUUACACUCAAAAGUAUUUUCUCUUGUUGCUUGUACUGUGACCUGUUUACAUAACAUGUUGCUUGCUUUCUCCCUAUUCGCAUCUUUGAAACUAGUAUGUCCUGAUUUAAGGUUUUUAGUACCACAACAAUGUGUUUAUUUACUGAUUCUGUCUCCCUGUCUGCUCAGUACUUCUAUAUAGUUCAACAAUUACUAUAGAAUACUAAUUUCUUUCUGCCUGUUCUAUUAUAAAUCCCAAACUUCUAACCCUAUGUGUUCAUGAUAUAGUUUGAGGCAUGGCAAUACUGCAAAUUAUUGUGCAUGAAUCAAACUUGAUCCAUUGUGAUCCUAGCCUCUAAAUAGUGUCCUGGCAGGCUUGAGAGUAUGCUAGCGUCCUUCAUUGUUGGGCAUGCUUGAAUC
rnacentral:lncRNA from 1 species